rnacentral:rRNA from 1 species
GUGGGGAAUAUUGGACAAUGGGGGGAACCCUGAUCCAGCCAUGCCGCGUGUGUGAAGAAGGCCUUUUGGUUGUAAAGCACUUUAAGCGAGGAGGAGGCUACCGAGAUUAAUACUCUUGGAUAGUGGACGUUACUCGCAGAAUAAGCACCGGCUAACUCUGUGCCAGCAGCCGCGGUAAUACAGAGGGUGCAAGCGUUAAUCGGAUUUACUGGGCGUAAAGCGCGCGUAGGUGGCCAAUUAAGUCAAAUGUGAAAUCCCCGAGCUUAACUUGGGAAUUGCAUUCGAUACUGGUUGGCUAGAGUAUGGGAGAGGAUGGUAGAAUUCCAGGUGUAGCGGUGAAAUGCGUAGAGAUCUGGAGGAAUACCGAUGGCGAAGGCAGCCAUCUGGCCUAAUACUGACACUGAGGUGCGAAAGCAUGGGGAGCAAACAGGAUUAGAUACCCCAUAGUCC